GAUGAACGCUGGCGGCGUGCCUAAUACAUGCAAGUCGAGCGAACGGACGAGAAGCUUGCGGCUCUGAUGUUAGCGGCGGACGGGUGAGUAACACGUGGAUAACCUACCUAUAAGACUGGGAUAACUUCGGGAAACCGGAGCUAAUACCGGAUAAGAUUUUGAACCGCAGGGGUCAAAAGUGAAAGACGGUCUUGCUGUCACUAAUAGAUGGAUCCCGGCUGCAUGAGCUAGUAGGUACGGUAACGGGUUACGAAGGCAACGAUGCAUAGCCGACCUGAGGGGCUGAUCGGCCACAUUGGAACUGGGACACGGUCCAGACUCCUACGGGACGCAGCAGUCGGGAAUGGUCCGCAGUAGGCGAAAACCUGACGGAGCAACGCCGCGUGUGAGAUGACGGUGCCCGGAUCGUAAUGCUCUGUUACUAGUGAAGAACAUAUGUGUAAGUAACUGUGCACAUCUUGACGGUACCUAGUCAGAAAGCCCCGGCUAACUACGUG
rnacentral:rRNA from 1 species